rnacentral:rRNA from 1 species
GUGGGGAAUAUUGGACAAUGGGCGAAAGCCUGAUCCAGCCAUGCCGCGUGUGUGAAGAAGGUCUUCGGAUUGUAAAGCACUUUAAGUUGGGAGGAAGGGCAGUAAGUUAAUACCUUGCUGUUUUGACGUUACCGACAGAAUAAGCACCGGCUAACUUCGUGCCAGCAGCCGCGGUAAUACGAAGGGUGCAAGCGUUAAUCGGAAUUACUGGGCGUAAAGCGCGCGUCGGUGGUUUUGUAAGUUGGAGGUGAAAUCCCCGGGCUCAACCUGGGAACUGGCUCCAAAACUGCAUGACUAGAGUACGGUAGAGGGUAGUGGAAUUUCCUGGGUAGCGGUGAAAUGCGUAGAUAUAGGAAGGAACACCAGUGGCGAAGGCGAAUACCUGGACUGAUACUGACACUGAGGUGCGAAAGCGUGGGGAGCAAACAGGAUUAGAUACCCGAGUAGUC